GACGAACGCUGGCGGCGUGCCUAAUACAUGCAAGUAGAACGCACAGUUUAUACCGUAGCUUGCUACACCAUAGACUGUGAGUUGCGAACGGGUGAGUAACGCGUAGGUAACCUGCCUGGUAGCGGGGGAUAACUAUUGGAAACGAUAGCUAAUACCGCAUAAUAUUAAUUAUUGCAUGAUAAUUAAUUGAAAGGUGCAAUUGCACCACUACCAGAUGGACCUGCGUUGUAUUAGCUAGUAGGUGAGGUAACGGCUCACCUAGGCGACGAUACAUAGCCGACCUGAGAGGGGGAUCGGCACCACUGGGACUGAGACACGGCCCAGACUCCUACGGGAGGCAGCAGUAGGGAAUCUUCGGCAAUGGACGAAAGUCUGACCGAGCAACGCCGCGUGAGUGAAGAAGGUUUUCGGAUCGUAAAGCUCUGUUGUAAGAGAAGAACGGGUGUGAGAGUGGAAAGUUCACACUGUGACGGUAUCUUACCAGAAAGGGACGGCUAACUACGUG
rnacentral:rRNA from 1 species